GCGGCUGCUAUACUGCAAGUCGAACGCUUCUUUUUCCACCGGAGCUUGCUCCACCGGAAAAAGAAGAGUGGCGAACGGGUGAGUAACACGUGGGUAACCUGCCCAUCAGAAGGGGAUAACACUUGGAAACAGGUGCUAAUACCGUAUAACAAUCAAAACCGCAUGGUUUUGAUUUGAAAGGCGCUUUCGGGUGUCGCUGAUGGAUGGACCCGCGGUGCAUUAGCUAGUUGGUGAGGUAACGGCUCACCAAGGCCACGAUGCAUAGCCGACCUGAGAGGGUGAUCGGCCACAUUGGGACUGAGACACGGCCCAAACUCCUACGGGAGGCAGCAGUAGGGAAUCUUCGGCAAUGGACGAAAGUCUGACCGAGCAACGCCGCGUGAGUGAAGAAGGUUUUCGGAUCGUAAAACUCUGUUGUUAGAGAAGAACAAGGAUGAGAGUAACUGUUCAUCCCUUGACGGUAUCUAACCAGAAAGCCACGGCUAACUACGUGCCAGCAGCCGCGGUAAUACGUAGGUGGCAAGCGUUGUCCGGAUUUAUUGGGCGUAAAGCGAGCGCAGGCGGUUUCUUAAGUCUGAUGUGAAAGCCCCCGGCUCAACCGGGGAGGGUCAUUGGAAACUGGGAGACUUGAGUGCAGAAGAGGAGAGUGGAAUUCCAUGUGUAGCGGUGAAAUGCGUAGAUAUAUGGAGGAACACCAGUGGCGAAGGCGGCUCUCUGGUCUGUAACUGACGCUGAGGCUCGAAAGCGUGGGGAGCAAACAGGAUUAGAUACCCUGGUAGUCCACGCCGUAAACGAUGAGUGCUAAGUGUUGGAGGGUUUCCGCCCUUCAGUGCUGCAGCUAACGCAUUAAGCACUCCGCCUGGGGAGUACGACCGCAAGGUUGAAACUCAAAGGAAUUGACGGGGGCCCGCACAAGCGGUGGAGCAUGUGGUUUAAUUCGAAGCAACGCGAAGAACCUUACCAGGUCUUGACAUCCUUUGACCACUCUAGAGAUAGAGCUUCCCCUUUCGGGGGCAAAGUGACAGGGUGGAUGCAUGAUUGUCGUCAGCUCGUGUCGUGAGAUGAUGGGAUUAAGUCCCGCAACGAGCGCAUCCAUAUGAUAGGUGCCCAUCAUUCAGCUUGGG
rnacentral:rRNA from 1 species